GUUCAUUCUCAUUAUUGCAUAGUAUUCCCUCCUGUGAAUAUAUUAUUAUGUAUUCAUCCAUCUAUUGUUAAUUGAUAUUUGGGUUCUAAUAUUUGGUUCUUACAAAUAGUCUGCUAUGAAAUUUCUUUUUAUUAUUUUUAGAAACAUAUAUACACAUAUACUUUAAUUGGCAUAAUCCCAGAGGCAGAAGUUCUGAGUCUCAGGGAAUGCAUAGGGCAACGUUAGUGGAUACUGCCAGUUUUUCAUAGCAGUUGAACCAGUUUAUAUCACCAGCAGUACAGGAGUUCCAGUUGCUUCCCAUCUUUGUCAUCACUUACUAUCAUCAGUCUUCUAAAUUUCUCAGUGAAUGUGUAGUGCAAUUUACUGAAGUUUUAAUUUGCAUUUCCCUUAUCACAAUUGAAAUUGAAUGAUUUUGAAUAUCUUCUGUUGUGAAAUACUUGUUCAGAUAUUUUGUCCAUAUCCUACCAGGUUAUUUUUUCCUCAAAAAUAUUAUAGGCAUACAUAACUAUACACACACAUGCAUAUAUACAUAUCAUACAUACACACAUAUCUUCUAGUUUGUGGCCUUUAUGUUAAUAUUUAUACAAAUAUCUUCUAUUCUGUGACUUGCCUUUUCAUUCUUGUUUUCUAUGACUUGUGUUCUUAUUCUUUUAGUAGUGACUUGCUAAGCAGAAAUCCAUGAAGAAUAAGUCUUUUAAAAACUUGAAUCAUUCUGGGUCAAUUCAAGGUUUCCCUUUCUUCUAUUUAUCUUGGUGGCUCCUAUAGAACAUGAUCCAGCUCCCCGUGGAAAGAGUGGUCAAGGCAGCAGCAUCUGUGGCCCGAUUACACCAUUCUUGGGGCCUCCUCUGACAUUCAGCGCCCAGAGACCACAAAGCUCAUUCUAUGAGCUCCAAGCACACCCUGUUUGCUCGCUUGGGAAGCCACAGACUUCACCAACCUGUGCUGUUCAAAAGAGAACAUUUUCUGGAUGAAGGCAACAGCUCACCUCCACAGGGUGCUGGCAGUUUGUCUGGAUUAAAAAUAGCGAGCAAUGUCCUAAGGCUGUUCUUGAGGAAAGAGACUCCAGGAACUGGCAUCAAUGGUCUCUUUCCAGACACCUCACUACGAGAGGAACAACUGACCCUGAGGAUAUGGAUACCUCCUUUCCUCAUAAACUUCUAUUUUGAGAAAUAUCGUUGUAGAAAUUCUGCUCCAUGGUUUCACCUGGAGGAAGAUUCUCGGUCACAGGAAGGUGAGGUAUUGUAAAAUUCAGAUGCCUUUGGGAAGAGUCACACACUCCAUGCCUAAUAUCUGAAUGAGAUCACUCCCCAUCAUUUCUGCGGUUACUCCUUUGAUCCAAGCCACAGGUAUCUCCUCCCUGAAUUACUGGAAUAGCAUUCUGACUGGGCCCUCUGCUUCCACUGCGAUCCCUGUAAAGUCUCUUCUUAGCAUAAAACCAUAAUAAUCCUUUUUAAAAUUACAGCGGAUUAUGGGUCUCCUAUGCUCCAGACUCCAAUGUCUGCUCAUUUCUCCUUCCAAAGGCCUGAGUUUGUGCCAUGGCUUCCCUGCCCCGUGUGUUUGGGACCUAUGACUGUGUCUCCCCCAUUUCAUCUCCAUACUUCCCUCCAAUUUCAUCUCCUACACUUCUGCUCACUGUGGCCUCCUCACUAUACUUCAGGCAUACCUUAGGAUGCCAGCAUCAUCUGUUCCCCGUCUGUUCUUUAUCUGGCAUAGCCUCAUGGCUAAGUCUUUACCUCUGUGAAGAUCUUUUGUAAUGUUGCUUUCUCAUGGAGACCUACCCACACUAUCUAUUUUAAAAUUGUCACCUCCAUCUCCAUGGCCUUUCCAAAAGCCCUUUUCUCUGCUCUACUUCUUAAAUCUUUCCCAUAGAACUUAUCAACUUCUAACAUAAUUUAGAAGUUUCUUAUUUAUUAUGUUUAAUGUAAGUUGUCUGUCUCUUCCUAUCAGGAUGGAGCUUCCAUGAGGGCAGAAAUCUUCAUUAAUUGGGAUAUCAGUAUACCCCAAGUACCUAGAACAGCACCUGGCACAUAGUAGAUACUUGAAUCAUAUUUUAAGAAUGAAUGGGUAUAAAAAUUUCAUUUGCGAAGGACAGGAGAAUAUUAGCAAAGUAUAGAAACCCUAGAAGCCUCAAAAAAUAAGGGCAGUAAUGGAGAAAGAAACCAUGGAGGAUAAAGGGCUGUUAUUGUACCUGGUUGGUAACACACUCUUGGGCCAGUCUGGCUAGAAACUAAUUUGGAUCCCAGGC
rnacentral:lncRNA from 12 species